UCUUGCUUCAGCAGCACAUUACUAAAAUUGGAACGAUGCAUAGAAGAUUAGCAUGGCCCCUGUGCAAGUAUGACACCCAAAUUCAUGAAGUGUUCCAUAUUUAA